UACGAAGGGGGCUAGCGUUGCUCGGAAUCACUGGGCGUAAAGGGUGCGUAGGCGGGUCUUUAAGUCAGGGGUGAAAUCCUGGAGCUCAACUCCAGAACUGCCUUUGAUACUGAGGAUCUUGAGUUCGGGAGAGGUGAGUGGAACUGCGAGUGUAGAGGUGAAAUUCGUAGAUAUUCGCAAGAACACCAGUGGCGAAGGCGGCUCACUGGCCCGAUACCGACGCUGAGGCACGAAAGCGUGGGGAGCGAACAGG
rnacentral:rRNA from 1 species